UGCUUAACACAUGCAAGUCGGACGGCAGCAUGAUUGGUAGCAAUACUGAUUGAUGGCGAGUGGCGGACGGGUGAGUAAUACAUAGGAACUUGCCUUAUGGAGGGGGAUAGCUCAGGGAAACUUGAGGUAAUACCGCGUAAGACCGGAAGGUGAAAGGGGGCUGUUAAAGGCUCUCGCCAUGAGAUGGGCCUAUGUUGGAUUAGCUAGUAGGUGGGGUAAAGGCUUACCUAGGCGACGAUCCAUAGCUGUUCUGAGAGGAAGGACAGCCACACUGGGACUGAGACACGGCCCAGACUCCUACGGGAGGCAGCAGUGGGGAAUAUUGGACAAUGGGGGCAACCCUGAUCCAGCAAUGCCAUGUGUGCGAAGAAGGCCUUCGGGUUGUAAAGCAC
rnacentral:rRNA from 1 species